GACGAACGCUGGCGGCGUGCCUAACACAUGCAAGUCAGGGAGAAAAGGGUAGCAAUAUCCUGAGUAAACCGGCGAACGGGUGAGUAACACGUAGGCAACUUACCUUGAGAACGGGAAUAACCCCGGGAAACCGGGGCUAAUACCCGAUGUUAUUCCGUUGUAGCAUUGCAAUGGAAUAAAAAGACCCGCAAGGGCGUCACAAGAUUGGCCUGCGUCCCAUUAGAUAGUUGGCGGGGUAACAGCCCACCAAGUCGACGAUGGGUAGCUGGUCUGAGAGGACGAUCAGCCACACUGGAACUGAGACACGGUCCAGACUUCUACGGAAGGCAGCAGUGAGGAAUAUUGCUCAAUGGGCGAAAGCCUGAAGCAGCGACGCCGCGUGAAGGAUGAAAU
rnacentral:rRNA from 1 species